UACGUAGGUGGCGAGCGUUGUCCGGAUUUAUUGGGCGUAAAGCGCGCGCAGGCGGUGCGCUAAGUCUGCGGUGAAAUCUCCCUGGCUCAACCGGGAGGGGGCCGUGGAGACUGGCGCACUGGAGGGACCUAGAGGCCGGUGGAAUUCCCGGUGUAGUGGUGAAAUGCGUAGAGAUCGGGAGGAACACCAGGUGGCGAAGG
rnacentral:rRNA from 1 species